AUUGAACGCUGGCGGCAGGCCUAACACAUGCAAGUCGAGCGAGCGGCGGACGGGUGAGGAAUGUAUGGGGACUGCCCGAUAGAGGGGGAUAACUACUGGCAAAGGUAGCUAAUAACGCAUACUAUCGGAUAACCCAUAUGGGAUUGGCUAGUAGGUGAGGUAAUGGCUCACCUAGGCGACGAUCCCUAGAUGGUCUGAGAGGAUGAUCAACCCCACUGGGACUGAGACUCGGCCCAGGCUCGUACGGAGGCAGCAGUGUGGAAUAUUGGACAAGGGGCGCAAGCCUGAUGCAGCCAUGCUGCGUGUAUGAAGAAGGCCCUAGGGUUGUAAAGUACUUUCAGUCGGGAGGCGUUACCGACAGAAGAAGCACCGGCUAACUCCGUGCCAGCAGCCGCGGUAAUAC
rnacentral:rRNA from 1 species